rnacentral:lncRNA from 1 species
CCCAGUUCCUGUUCCAUUAGGGAAUCCAAACAAACCUUCCAGCUCUCUGAUGGUCAGCAGAUACUCAUGAUCAUGGAUGGUGAAGGUGAUGUAUCCCAAUCCUCCAUCCGACUCUAUGUCCGGAUCAUCCUCAUAAAGAUGUAUGGCAAGCGUACAGAGGAACUGAAUUGUCUCCUCUCGGUAUGCGUUUCGCGGACUAGUCAUGAGGGUGCUGAGAUGACAAUGCUCAAACAUAUACUCGAUAUCACUCGAGAUAGCCAGCUCAUCCAUCGUCUGCUGGCAAGGGUACCUCGUGCCCUGAAACUCAUGCUGCUGAAACAGCUUGUAAUACUCUCCCGGGGCUAACCA